rnacentral:rRNA from 1 species
UACGUAGGGGGCGAGCGUUGUCCGGAUUUAUUGGGCGUAAAGAGCGUGUAGGCGGUUCGGUAAGUCUGUCGUGAAAUCCUGAGGCUCAACCUCGGGCGUGCGAUGGAUACUGCCGGGCUAGAGGGUGGUAGAGGCGAGUGGAAUUCCCGGUGUAGCGGUGAAAUGCGCAGAUAUCGGGAGGAACACCAGUAGCGAAGGCGGCUCGCUGGCCACACCUGACGCUGAGACGCGAAAGCUAGGGGAGCGAA